UAUAAUAAUAAUAAUGGACGCAUUCAAAGCAGGAUUCAAAAGGAUGUACACACACGUGGACGCGGGGCGGACCCUCUUCUCUCUCUCUGUUCCGAGCAUGUAUGCAUGACUCGCUCUUAAUUUUCGACUCUCAUAAGUCAACUAUAUUCCGCUUUCUUUCGGAGGAGGAGAGGAGAUCGAGCAGGGACUGCUGAGCGGAGGUGCAGAAGCCUCCACCCAUGGUCGUCGUCGUCGUCGUCGUCGUCGUCCAUGAAUCAGAUCAGAUCGGGGGGCUAUUACUUAAUUCCUUCAAACGGUUAAGCUGUAUUAUUAUUUUAUGCAUCAUUUUUAUCCCUCUUACUCGGAUACUCGAUAGAUUUGAAAGAUAGGAUUCGGUAGAAAUAAUAUAUAUCUAAUGGGAGCGUAUUUAACUAGUGAGCAGAGAGAUAAUACGAGGCAAAAGAGAGAAUGGCGAUGAGAUCUAGACGGCUCACAGAUGACGACGGACGACGACCGACGACCGCACAUAGCUAGACAGACCUCGAUCGAGACCAGCGACUAGUUUUGCCGACGGCGGCCUUAAUUAAUUAAUUGGGUACAUUAAUUUGAAGGUGAAGACGACGGCAUCAGGAUAUUGGUGGAGAACUGGAGGAGAGGGCGGCCGGGUUCAUGCCUGCCUUGCACCCCCCGAUCGGUAUAUCUGCUGUCCGCUAAUUAAUUAAUUAAGAUGAGAAUGAAGAAAUUCUAAUUUGAUUCUCUAGUCUGUACCAUACUAUCCAAAAUAAUUAAGCUAAUUGCUCCAGGAGAGGAGAGAGAAAAAGAAUCAUCAAGGUCUAUCUUGCUAGCCCUCUCCUUUUUCUUUUAGUUUUUAUUUUUUAAAUUUUCUCUUUUGUUUAUAGCGAGGAAAUUAACCCUUGAUUGGACCGACUGACCAAAUGAAACCCAGUUCUGCCUAGUUCAAUUAAUCGGAGGACUGGAAGCCCUUCAUUUUCAAUUAAUUUCGUUUUUCCGAUCGAGGCCGCGUCAAUUGUUUGAUUUUGCUGUAGUCUGCUGCCUUUUGCUGCUGCAUGCUCCGCUCCGUUUUCCCAACAUAGCAGACCAUAGCGCAGUUGGUUAGGGCGGAGAGGAAGCUCGAGAAGAAGAGGGAAAGCAGCUAGCGGUCGCGGCCGGAUGGGCGAGUGGCGGAUGGUCGGCCACAAUUGGUGGGUCCGGCAUGUUUCUAUGCUGCUGUGCACGGGUUCACGUGUUCGGAUUCAGCAAAGGCAUUCGUGUCCCUCGGUGGCACCACAGUUGUGAGAAGAAAACUGUGCAUUGGGUGGACCCGAUCCACCACAUUUAUUGACCGACCGUCCAAUUAAUUUUGCCCUCUAUCAUAUCCUACUGGUUGAUUGAUGCUCUUAUCCGUCCUCCUUCUUCUUCUUCUCCGUAUUCUUUAAAAAAAUAAUUAGUUUAAUUUGCUCCCAACAAAUAUAAUAUAUCUGUACUGCACAAUUUCUUUUGUAAUUUUAUCUUUAUCUUAUUACAAAUAUGUGACGAAUAACAAGAUGGAUGGGUUAAGUGCAAAUUAUAAUUAGGCUCAUAUCAGCGAUACAGUUUGCCAUCAUAGAGUUUGUAUAUUAGUGAUUUAGGAGCUCAAUGUAUUUGUAAUUUUUUAGCGCUUGGAUCGUCUCAAGAUCCAUAUAACUAGUGCUGCACGGAUGUUGAGACGAUCCAAAUAUUAAAAAGUCACAAAAAUAAAUGCUAUUGUAUUUUUAAAAGCACAGAAAGUAAUAUAUAUAUAUAUAUAUAUAUAUAUAUAUAUAUAUAUAUAUAAUGACAAAGUUAAACUUUUUAAACUAAUAUAGGGAAGUAGAAUUAGGUUAAACCUAAAUUGAAUAAAUUGAAGUUUAUUCUUUUAUUAGGGAAAAAAAAAACUUAUAUUGCACUGUCAUUACAAACAAGAGUAGGAAAAAAAAAUUAGAAUGCACCGGUUAUAUUGCUAACGUGACGUUCUCAACCGAUAAGAUUAUUUUUUCUGUGUUCACCCGUUCCAUUAUGGUUAAUAGAAAAAUAUUUUUAUUAUACUUUUUUUUAUUUUAAGAAGAGAGGUAUAAUUAAUUUGUUAGCGGUGAUAUGGUGCAGGAGAGAUUGGAGGACUAGGUUCAUGUUAUUAAUUUCCGUUUCAGUUCCACCAUCAUCACAUCAUCAGGUCAUUGUUUUAAUGCGUUAGCUGUCGCAUGUCGCAAAGUAUCCAAAGUUUGGCAUCGAACAAUAAAGUGGUUCUCCUAUCGAUUAAUAUAAUAAUAAUAAUAUUCAAAAAAGUUUUAUACCAAAGCGAUAAAAAGGAUGAAAGAGUAUGCAAUCUAAGAUCGAUGUGUGGGCCGGGGUGGCCUUCAUUUUCUCCUCUCUCUCUCUCUCUCCUUUUCCCUUGGAUAGAAAGUCAUAUUCUUUUAUUAUCCUAGAACUGCUUGCAUGUUGUGAGAUUUUUUUUUCUUUUAUUGAUUAUUUUGUGUAUAAUAACAAAGAAUUUUACACAUGAAUAGUCUUAAUUCUUAUCUGUGGUAAGCUAGGUUUAAAUUAUUAAAUGUUUACUGGUCCGAUCCAAUCCACUAUAGAUGAUCGAGCAACGAAGUUAUUUAUUGUACAGAAUUUAAUUUACUGCAUAAUUGGUAGUGAUGGACACCGUCCAGAGUUGGAAUCUAAAUACGCCCAAAUCAAGACACCCAAUUUCGACGCAUUUUGUUUCCACAAUCAAUGUCGCUAAUCCAAAAACCCCAGAGCCAAAAAAGAAAAAAAAAGGAAAAACAAGAAAGGAAAAUGUUUUUUGGGCCAUCGCUGUGGAAUGUGACUCCGUUGCUUUGUGCGUGCACACGAAAAAAAAAAAAAAAAAAAAAAUGUUUGGUCUAAGCAAUAAAUCUAAUCUAAGUGGUCCGGGGUGGGCCCCACCAUGGAUUGCAGGUUCAAUUCGGUGGCCAAUAAUAGAACGACAGCGUGGCGCAUCUCCACCUGUGCGUAUCAUUGGACGGCUAGGAUGGGAUCAUUGUGCGCGCCUUUCCUUUCUCGAUGGCCGGAUAAGGUGAGGUCCCUGGUCCACGUGUGCUCAGCUAGCUUUCGUGGGACCCGCACGUGGGGGGGAGGAGGAGGAGAUGGUGGGGACCACGGGAUUUGUCCUUUUCGCCACGUGGAAAGUCCGCAUAGAAGCCCGUGGGGACCGCCACCACAUGGUAGUAUCAAAAUUAAGUAUGCGACCGAAUCACGUAGCGUAUUAUUAUUAUUAUUAUUAUUAUUAUUAUUAUGAAGGUAUUAUAGGUCCUGCUAAAUUAAUUAAUGAGGUCACAUUCAGGGUAAUUUUGUAAAUUUCUCAUUGAACAUCUCGAGGACUCAGAUUUUGGAUAAUAUAAUAAUUUGAAAUUGAAAAUCAUAAAAUUCCACCUAACCAGAUACGGCCUGGUGGAAUAUAUUAGGAGGUCUCAUUCAGGAUGAUUAGCAAUUUAAAUAAAGAGUUAAUUGCAUCAACGACCCCUAACUGUUACAUUUUUUUUUUUUUUAUUUAGGUCCCCAGUUUUUAUUUGCUUUACCAUUAGAGUUCUAAUUCUUAAUUUUUAUUUUAACUAUGUUCUAUUAUUAAGAAUACUAUAAAAUUUACCAGUAGAUGUCACAUUAAAGACAAUCUGUAUAUAAUGUCAUCAUCAAUGCCAUAUUAGUAUCGAAUUUUGACCCACGGUUAUUUUGAUUAAAAUUAAUCACAUUUUCGAUGGCAGGACUCGAGUGAAAUAAAUACCAUAGAAUAAAAAAAUUUUAGUUGCAAGAAAAGAAGGGUUGAGGAUCAAAAUAGGAAACAAGUAAAGGCUGAGGUUCAUUGGUGCAAUUAAGCCAUAAAUAAAUCAUCUCGACAAUGUCCAAUUUAGGAUAAUUUAAUAAUAUGAAAUAGAAAAUUAUAAAUUCCACCUACCAGCUAUGUAAGUGGUUGGGCAGAAAAUACUGGGAGGUCAUCCUCAAUCCUUCUCUUUCUCUUCUUUCUCCUUUUCUUUUCUUUUUUUUCCCCCCUUUUUUCUCAAUUUUUUUUAUUUUCUAUUUACCUAGAAUUUGAUCAUUCUUUAAUAAAUUACUCUACUUGCGCAUACAAAUACGGGGUUUGAUAUUUUUGACCAAAUGACACCUCUGCUUUUCUAUCAAUUUCAAUUAAGACGGCAAGAAUGAUCAUGUGACGGACUUCUCAUUUUCUUGGUGGAGUGACACUGUAGUAGUCGGGCAUUCUUUCUUUCUUUACGGCGCUAAUCUCGCUGGUAAUCAUUGCCAGACGGUCUGACACGUUGCUACGUUGCACUCGACGCUCGGUGGAGCGGAAGUAUCUGCCACCAUUAACACAACAAGGAGCAUUAUUCGUCGUCUUAUGUUUUUCUUUAACAAUUGCAUGCUUCUUCAUUAUGCCACAAUUCAAGAUGGUGCACAAGUUGCGCGCCUAGCAUUUUGACAGACGAUGCGAUGCGGAUAUGUUGAAGCCCUUGCUCAAGUCCCAAGUCGAAAACCAUUCUGGGUUUGCAACUAAAUCUGAAGUCCUUGAACGUGACAAAAUUCCUAGCCUACGAGUUGCAUCUACAGUAUUACUCCCUCACAUACAUACAUACAUUCACGUAUUUCAGAGAAGCAUCGUAAGCAUUUUUCAGAAACACCAUAGCUAUUUAGGAUGUCGAGUGAUCUUUUUACUCCUCAUAGGCACAUCAAUGAUGAGGGAAGUAAAAGGUCCCACCAACAUACCUAAGCUGUUUGAGGAAUCCUAAAGCAAACAGAGGUCGAAAUCUAUGUCACAGUAUUACGGAUUUGACUUGCGGUUGCUACUAAACAAAACGACGAAAAUACUUCCAGCCGAAGCGCCGCGAAACGCCAGCUCUUAAGAAGAAGAAGAAGAAGAAGAAGAAGAAGAAGAAGAAAUUUUCAGAAGCUACUUCAGCUGAAGAUAGAUAGAUUUGCCAAGCUUGCUCUCUUUGUGGCUGUGAUAUAGUUCUGAUAUUACUGCUUCCUGGAAUAGUCCUUACGGGUCUCACCUUCUUCAGCCCAUCAUCAAUUAAUGGGCAUGACAAAUUAAAACAGAUGACUACUACCAUGUUGUCAAGUAUAUAUACGGCUUCAUCAGGAUCAUUUACGUAGCCCGACAAAUCAAAUUUUUCAACAACCAAAUUUGCUGUGCAAAGAGGAGAAAAGCUUUGAAUUGUUAGUGCUGAUUUUACCAACAACAGUGGU